rnacentral:rRNA from 1 species
AACGAACGCUGGCGGCAUGCCUAACACAUGCAAGUCGAACGAGACCUUCGGGUCUAGUGGCGCACGGGUGCGUAACGCGUGGGAACCUGCCCUUAGGGUCGGCAUAACUCCCCGAAAGGGGUGCUAAUACCGGACAAUGUCUUCGGACCAAAGAUUUAUCGCCUUUGGAUGGGCCCGCGUUGGAUUAGCUAGUUGGUAGGGUAAAAGCCUACCAAGGCGACGAUCCAUAGCUGGUCUGAGAGGAUGAUCAGCCACACUGGGACUGAGACACGGCCCAGACUCCUACGGGAGGCAGCAGUGGGGGAUAUUGGACAAUGGGCGGAAGGCUGAUCCAGCUAUGCCGCGUGAAUGAUGAAGGCCGUAGGGUUGUAAAGCUCUUGUACCCGUGAUGAUAAUGACAGUACCGGGAGAAUAAGCUCCGGCUAACUCCGUG